rnacentral:lncRNA from 1 species
GUCACGGCAAUCCUCCUCCUCAGCCGUCGCCUCGCCCUCCGCGCUCCCAAUCGCCGCCCCCAAUCCCUCCUCAGCCGCUGCCGCCGUUACCCCCCGGCCGGCCACCAUGAUGCACAUGACCUUCUACUGGGGCAAGUCCGCCACGAUCCUCUUCGACGGCUGGCGCACCUCCACGUGGCUCGGCUACCUCCUCUCCCUCGUCGCCCUGCUCCUCGCCGCCGCCUUCUACCAGUACCUCGAGGCGCUCCGGAUCCGCGUCAAGCUCGCCGCGGGAGGGGGCGCGGGCAAGCAGCAGGCCCCCUCCAUCCCGCCGCCCGCCGGCUCCGACCCGUCGCGGGCGCCGCUCCUCGCGCCCGCCCUCGCCUUCGCCGCCGGGCGGUGGCCGGCGCGGGUGGCCGUGGCCGCGAUGUUCGGGGUCAACUCCGGCCUGGGAUACCUCCUCAUGCUCGCCGUCAUGUCGUUCAACGCCGGCGUGUUCAUCGCCGUCGUCGUGGGGCUUGCGCUCGGGUACCUCGCGUUCCGCAGCAGCGACGGGGAGGAUCUCGUCGUGGUCGACAACCCCUGCGCCUGCGCGUGAAGGCUCUACCGGAUGGGGUCGCCG